UUCGGUUUCGAUAGCUAAGAGGCUCCACCUGUUCCCAUACCGAACACAGAAGUUAAGCUCUUACACGCUGAAGGUACUUGGCUGGAAACGGCCUGGGAGAAUAAGUAGAUGCCG
rnacentral:rRNA from 1 species